UAAGCAUAUCAAUAAGCGGAGGAAAAGAAACUAACAAGGAUUCCCCUAGUAACGGCGAGUGAAGUGGGAAAAGCUCAACUUUGUAAUCUGGCAGCUUCGCUGUCCGAGUUGUAGUCUCGAGAAGUGUUUUCCGCGCUGGACCAUGUAUGAGUCUGUUGGAAUACAGCGUCAUAGAGGGUGAGAACCCCGUUCAUGACAUGACUUCCAGUGCUUUGUGAUACACUUUCGAUGAGUCGAGUUGUUUGGGAAUGCAGCUCAAAAUGGGUGGUAAAUUCCAUCUAAAGCUAAAUAUUGGGGAGAGACCGAUAGCAAACAAGUACCGUGAGGGAAAGAUGAAAAGCACUUUGGAAAGAGAGUUAACAGUACGUGAAAUUGUUGAAAGGGAAACGCUUGAAGUCAGACGUGCGUAGUGCCUUCGGGUGCUGUUGCAGGCCAGCAUCAGUUUCUCGAGCCGGAUAAAGGUAGGAGGAAGGUGGCAGCUCCGGCUGUGUUAUAGCCUCCUACUGAAUACGGAUCUUGAGACUGAGGAAUGCGAUUCUAGGAUGCUGGUGAAAUGGCUUUAAACGACCCGUCUUGAAACACGGACCAAGGAGUCUAACAUGCUUGCGAGUGUUUGGGUGGUCAAACCCAUACGCGUAAUGAAAGUGAAUGGAGGUGGGAUCCUUUACCGGAGCACCAUCGACCGAACCGGAUUUUUAAUGAAGGUUUUGAGUAAGAGCACGUAUGUUGGGACCCGAAAGAUGGUGAACUAUGCCUGAAUAGGGUGAAGCCAGAGGAAACUCUGGUGGAGGCUCGUAGCGGUUCUGACGUGCAAAUCGAUCGUCAAAUUUGGGUAUAGGGGCGAAAGACUAAUCGAACCAUCUAGUAGCUGGUUCCUGCCGAAGU
rnacentral:rRNA from 1 species